UAAUGCAAUGAAAUGCUCACAAGUGAUAAAUUUAACAAUUACGAAGUGGCAUGGGACAUAGUGUUAGCUUUUUCAGACAAUUAAUUAAACAUUUACCUACUUUGAUUUUGCUGUUUUUGUUUUGUGUUUCAGAACCAGUGUUUUUUUUUGUUUUGUUUUGUUUUUUUUGUCAGCUCUCAAAUUUUUUUUGUGGGACCCUUUAAAAAGCUCACAAGCUGGAUCCUGGAGCUAUGGAGCCUGGCCGAUAAGAUGAUUCUGAUUGCACAGAGCCUAGUGCUUUCUCAAUGAAAAGGGUCCCCCAAGUCCCUAUGGUUGUGUCGUCAGAGCUGAAGCCACGAAGAGAAGCCAUUCCUCAUUACGAAGUGUUUUUUGGGCCAAGCGUACACACUUGUCCUGCUCUAAAUGCUGUUGCUGGCGGGGACCUUUGCCACUCAGUCAACGGACUGAGUCCAGGAGGAUGACCAAAUAAUCCGGGAAGCUCUGAAUUCUCCAUCGUUAAUUCAGAUGGUCCAAUUCUGGUCAUCAGUUCAGGUCGAUCUGAAAUACCAGUGGGCCAGAGAGUGUGAUGAGGGAAAAACUCUUACGGAGAAGAAAAUGGGCCAGGGAAAUGGACUUGCUUGAGCCCAGUCAUGGAAGGAAUUUGGGAUAGAGAAGGCCACUCACGUCAUUAAAAAGCCUAUGGCGUGGCAGAGGCUCUGAUGAAUUUCAUCUGGCCAGUCCAACAUCUUUUCAAGGGGAGCUUGAACUCCAUUUCAUAGAUUGGACCCCUCGGGCUGAAAUAGGCCAAUAUUUGCCCAAAGUGACCCGGUGACAGGAACCCAGUGCUGCCUAAUUCCAAGGCUCUGCUAUGUCUUCCUGCCAUUGCGAUGGAGAGGCAUGCUUACGAUUUUUUGGAGGAAAUUAGCAGCAUGUUUUGAGGUUUGUGCUUGGAAUACCAGCAGGCUUAAGGAGAUUGCAGGAGCAAUGUCUUUUAGGAUUUUCCAUUUGCAGAAGCCACAAUCCUAUAACAAACAGUCGGUAUGAAAGAACUGGAGAGAAGUAAAUUAAGGGCUUACAAGAAGCAAUCAAGCCUUUGUCUAGAGUAGUGGAGCCAAGAACCCAGUUGGCUAACAAAUCCUCGUGGAGCACCUACCUACUCCGUGCAGGGGUCCCUGAGGGAUGAUAACCUCUCAGGCUUGGGUCCUCCGGUGCAGACAGGCACGGAAGUGGAUAGAAGGAGCUCUGGCCUACGAGUCAGAAGAUCAGAAUUUGCAAACUUCUCUUCCACUCCCUGGCCGUGUGGCCUCGGACAAAUGAAUGCGCCUCUCUGAGCCUCGGUUACCGUUUUGUAAGAUGGUGAUGCUAAUUCUUGUUCAAGCCACCUUCGGGCUCGACAUUCCUGUGGAUCCCCGCGGAACUCCGGUGUGUGGUAAACUACUAUCCUCUUUAUGACUGUCCCUUUGGCAGACCCAGUCUGCGGGGGAAGAGAUGAGGAAGCGAGGCCCGGACUUUGGAGAAUCCGAAGCUGAGGAGCCUGGGUCCUCCAGGCUGAGCAGUCUCCUCUCAAAACUGAUGAAAGCAGAAUGGGUUUCAAUUUGCCACAUGCCUUUCAAUCUUCCAAGGAAGGAUGGAAUAAAGGAGGUUGGCUGAUAAUCGAGCCUGGUGCCUGCUGACCUUGGGUGAGACUGUGGAGCCAUGGCACCUCCCCCACACUGCCAUCACUUCGGGAAACCAGCUGGAGUGUCUUUACAUCAGAAGAUGCUCACAGUUAGUGGGCCAGCCAUUCUCCUCUUUGGCAAAUAAGUGGAGAUACCCUUGUACACAUGCAGAGGGGAACGUGCAUAAUAAUGCUCUUGACAGUAUUUUCGUAACGGAGGAAUUUGGACACAAGCCUUGAUGGUCAUCAACUUGAAACCAGACUGCUUCUCCAGACUUUGGCCCCAUGAAUAAAGUGCAGCUACAUGUAUCAACAUGAUUAAAUAGCAAAAAUACAAUUCCGAGUGAAGAAGAGUACGUCUCAGAGAUACAGAAAUCAGUUAUCCAGACCUAUCUGUUAGGUCACGAUCAGUUACCGAGCCCAAGUCCUCGCGUGAAACUCAGCCCAGCAAGAAUUCAAAAUCAUUUUCAUUCACAUAAAGUCACUAAAGGUGUUAAAAGUCUCAUACUACCUUCAAAAGAAACACGUGGCCGGUGUUGAGAGUGGAAAUGUAACAGAAAGCUGAAUAAUGA